AUGGGUUUCAUCAAUGAUGAUAUAAUAAAGUAAUUUAAGUUUAUUUAAUAGUGCUUGCUAGUACUGACUAGAGUAAGAAUAUUGUAAUUAAUGCGUUAUGGAUAUAACACUUAUGGAUAUGGUCAUCACAACGAUUGGUGUUAUAGUAACAAUGGCAAUUUUGAGCUGUGUGUGCUGCAUAUGCAUGAAAAUAAGUGACUUAAAAAUGAAGAGCUAUAUAAUAGAGUUAGCAAAGCAGAGAGGUGUUAUGGUGGACCCAGACAAGCUAACCUCGCAGCAGAGGGAAUCGCCACAUGCGUCAGAAAAUUGUACAAUUAUGAUACCAGA